GACGUAGGGCGCGAGCGUUGUCCGGAUUUAUUGGGCGUAAAGAGCUCGUAGGCGGCUUGUCGCGUCGACUGUGAAAUCCCGCGGCUCAACUGCGGGUCUGCAGCCGAUACGGGCAGGCUAGAGUUCGGUAGGGGAGACUGGAAUUCCUGGUGUAGCGGUGAAAUGCGCAGAUAUCGGGAGGAACACCAGUGGCGAAGGCGGCUUCCUGGACCGGUUCUGACACUGAGGAGCGAAAGCGUGGGGAGCGAUCCGG
rnacentral:rRNA from 1 species